rnacentral:lncRNA from 1 species
CUUUUUCAAGUCUUCGGCAGAUUCCCCGACUCGCUUCGUGGGGUAACGCGACACUUGACUCACUGUUCUCCCCUUCUCACUGUUCUUCCCUUCCCUCCCGCACUCUCUUCCUCUCUCGGUUCUGUUCCGGGCACGAGGCUUCCGCGUUGCUCUGCUGUAGCGAGAUCUCUUUCCACGGAGGGAGGAGUCCUGAAGCCUCUCUCAGUGCGGCGUGGCGGAGCCGACUGACACGAUGACGUUUUGUGCACUCGGAACACACCGGUAGCGCUCUACACAGAAUCGCCGGUUUCCUCUGAAAAUCACGAGAGGUGCGCCGAACCAUUCAGUUCCUCCGCACGCAGGUCAGGAACGAGUUCGAAACCCGCCGAGGUCGAAGAGAGUGCCGAAGCGAAACCACAUCCGAGGGAAGUGAUGUUUUCUGGUGUGCACGUGCUGCGUGGGCUAGUCAGAAACCGCAACCAAACAGCUUUCUAAAACCAGUGAACGUACCUUUCUAGAUGGACAACUGUCCUGUCUGCGAAACGUUCGUUUUCGGAAGUUGCGUGGUCCGUUGCCACAGUGCCACCGGAAUUGCAGAACGCGAGGGUUCGGGGCUUCUGGUGCCUGAGCGGCCCAAGACCUCGCCGGGGUAAAAAGGCCAGUCCUCCUCCAGCUUCGCACCUAGCGGGAACUACGAGCGACUGGAAAGAGUGACAGACUGACGCUUCGCAAGGCGCGUUCAAAAACCUGAUGUGGAAACACCGUUAAAACACGCGUAUGCGUACACGUUCCUACGUGGCAAUACCGCACGUCCAGUGUUUCUGUUUGGGAUCUCUCUCGAGAGCUUCCCACGCUUCAGAAAGUGUGUCUGUGAGCUUGUGAAGAUCAUCUCAACUCUCCGGUCGCACAUCGCAUGCCCGUCGUC